rnacentral:rRNA from 1 species
CCUACGGGGGGCAGCAGUGAGGAAUAUUGGUCAAUGGCCGAGAGGCUGAACCAGCCAAGUCGCGUGAGGGAAGACGGCCCUACGGGUUGUAAACCUCUUUUGUCGGGGAGCAAAGAGAGUCACGUGUGACUCAUUGAGAGUACCCGAAGAAAAAGCAUCGGCUAACUCCGUGCCAGCAGCCGCGGUAAUACGGAGGAUGCGAGCGUUAUCCGGAUUUAUUGGGUUUAAAGGGUGCGCAGGCGGAGGUGCAAGUCAGCGGUCAAAGCGCGGGGCUCAACCCCGUACUGCCGUUGAAACUGCAUGCCUUGAGAGGGCGAGAGGUAUGCGGAAUGCGCGGUGUAGCGGUGAAAUGCAUAGAUAUCACGCAGAACUCCGAUUGUGAAGGCAGCAUACCGGCGCGCAACUGACGCUGAUGCACGAAAGCGUGGGUAUCGAACAGGAUUAGAUACCCGAGUAGUC